AUUGAACGCUGGCGGCAGGCUUAACACAUGCAAGUCGAGCGAGAGGCGGACGGGUGAGUGAUGCACGGGAAAAUGCCUGACGUAGGGGGCUAACUACUGGACACGGUAGCUAAUAAUGCAUACCAUCAGAUGUGCCCAGAUGGGAUUAGCUAGGAGGUGGGGUAAGGGCUCACCUAGGCGACGAUCCCUGGCUGGUCUGAGAGGAUGACCAGGCACACAUGAACUGAGACACGGUCCAGACUCCUACGCGAGGCAGCAGAGGGGAAUAUUGCACAAUGGGCGCAAGCCUGAUCCAGACAUGCCGCGUGUGUGAAGAAGGCCUUCGGGUUGUGAAGCACUUUCAGCGAGAAGGCGUUACUCGCAGAAGAAGCACCGGCUAACUCCGUGCCAGCAGCCGCGGUAAUAC
rnacentral:rRNA from 1 species